ACUGCUCAGUAACACGUAGUCAACAUGCCCAGGGGACGUGGAUAACCUCGGGAAACUGAGGAUAAACCGCGAUAGGCCAAGGUUUCUGGAAUGGACACUGGCUGAAACCUACAUGGCCCCUGGAUUGGACUGCGGCCGAUCAGGCUGUUGGUGAGGUAAUGGCCCACCAAACCUGUAACCGGUACGGGCUUUGAGAGAAGGAGCCCGGAGAUGGGCACUGAGACAAGGGCCCAGGCCCUAUGGGGCGCAGCAGGCGCGAAACCUCUGCAAUAGGCGAAAGCUUGACAGGGUUACUCUGAGUGAUGCCCGCUAAGGGCAUCUUUUGGCACCUCUAAAAAUGGUGCAGAAUAAGGGGUGGGCAAGUCUGGUGUCAGCCGCCGCGGUAAUACCAGCACCCCGAGUGGUCGGGACGAUUAUUGGGCCUAAAGCAUCCGUAGUUUGUUCUGCAAGUCCUCCGUUAAAUCCACCUGCUCAACAGAUGGGCUGCGGGGGAUACUACAGGGCUAGGAGGCGGGAGAGGCAAACGGUACUCAGUGGGUAGGGGUAAAAUCCUCUGAUCCACUGAAGACCACCAGUGGCGAAGGCGGUUUGCCAGAACGCGCUCGACGGUGAGGGAUGAAAGCUGGGGGAGCAAACCGGAUUAGAUACCCGGGUAGUCCCAGCUGUAAACGAUGCAGACUCGGUGAUGGGUUGGCUUUGAGCCAACCCAGUGCCGCAGGGAAGCCGUUAAGUCUGCCGCCUGGGGGAGUACGGUCGCAAGACUGAAACUUAAAGGAAUUGGCGGGGGAG
rnacentral:rRNA from 1 species